UCCCUGGUGGCUCAGAGGGUAAAGCAUCUGCCUGCAAUGCAGGAGACCCAGUUGAACCAGGAGACCCAGGUUCGAUCCCUGGGUUGGGAA
rnacentral:tRNA from 1 species